AACUGCUCCUUCCUUCCUCUUCUCCUGUUGGCAGGCUCUGUGCUGCUGCGUCCCUGUCCCUGGAACAAGCAGCCUGUUCGUUCCGGGCCCCCACACACCAGACCCUCCUCCUUCCUCCUUCCUCCUUCCUGCCUCCUGCCUCAGCGCCUCCCAGUCCAGCCUCCAAGGAAAGUUCUGUAUUUUUCCAGCCAGUCUGGCCUAGCUGCACAGGCGUCCCUUCAGGGCCGGUGGGGUCACGAGAGCCCAGGCCUCCACCGACCAUGGGCAGACAAGGGACAUGCGCUCCUCACCACCGCCACCCCAGCCAUGCACGGAAGGGGAAAUCGAGGUCCAGAGAGGGCCAGGGAUUAGCCUGAGCCACACAGCAAGGAAGGCCAGAGCCACGGCAGGAAGUGUGUCUGGGGUCUCUGGGGUCUUGGGGAGACCUCCAACCUCCCAGAGGUGUCCCAUGGACACUUCCAUUUCCUGUGUGACUGUAGGUGAGUUCCCUAAGCCUCCACGCCCUCUCUGGCCUCAGUUUCCUCACUGAGGCAGUGCUCCCAGGAAGCUCCAGCUCCGCCCUGCCCCGUCGGUGCGGUGAUCAGUCAUUCCGUCAACAAAAGUGCCCGAGACAGGCUUGGCAGGUACUAAGCCAGAUGGAGGCAUGACCCUGGGAGGGGGUGGAGUGCAAAGAGGUGCAGAGCACCCCAUAAAAUAAGGGGUUGGGCAUCACCAUGCCCCCUGCAGGCUUUGCCACCCAUCAGCACCAGCAAGUCGCCCCACCCAGAGCUCUGCAAAGAACACCGCCAGCUCUUUCCUUCCGGGUGCUCUUGCUGGGGGGUCAGGCUGGUCCCCUCUGACUGGCACUGCCCACGCUGGGACAUGGGAGGAGGGCCAUCUGGGCACUGCAGGAGCAGAUCCUGGGUGCACAUGGGGAGACAGGUGUGCUGGCAGGAACAGCAGGCGGGGCUGAGCUCAGGAGGCGCCUCACAGCGGGUGCCUCCAGCCUGGUCUGAGCACGGGAUGAAGAACCAGGCACCGCUCAUCGUGCAUCUCCACAAGGCACUGUGUGACUUCAUGCAAGCCGCUCAACCUCUCUGGCCCCACGUCCUUGUCCACAGGGGCAGAGUGGACUGAAUGGAGGCUGAGGUCCCUCUCAGCUUGGGUGGUGUGGCAGAGGGUGAGGAGGAGCCCAUGGGCCCUGGAUCACCAGCCUCCCUCCACCCAGAAUGCCCCGUCCACUCCACUGCCCACCACCCUCUGUGCAAUUGACAAACGUCCUGGUGUUAACGCCUAAGCAUAAAGAGUCGGCUUUGCUGUAAGUGUUGUCUGAACCUGGGCCCAACGUCACCGCCUCCAGGAAGCCUUCCUGACCUCCUCGUUCCAUGUUGAUUGAGUCUUCUGCGUGCCUUGGCCUCCCCUGUGUGUGCUACCAGAGGAGCCCCUGAGCACAAAUGCAGUCUUCCUGCAUGUCUCUGUGUGUGUGUGUGCAUGUGUGUGAGUGUACGAGUGUGUGUGUGACUGUGUGUGUAUGUGAGUGUGUGUGUGAGUGGGUGGGCCAGGGUACCCGUCUCUUGCACACCUACUGGGGUGUGCCCUGAGCUUGCCCUGGGCACACGGAACCUGGUUCUGGCUCCAUUGGAGAUGCUCUGACCCCCGAGGUGUGGAGGCCAGCAGUGGGCAGUGCCAGCCAGGCUGCCAGCAACCCCAGCUCACUUCCGGAGCCAUAAAAGGAGAGACGCUGAGAAUAGCGCGGCUGUGACGCGCCCAGGAGCUCCUCACGCAUGCAGACUCUGCACCACCCGCCCGCCCGCCUGCUCUCUGAGGUGCUGGCCUGAAGGGCCCCCCGCCCAGCCCCAGCCCUACCAGGAUUGGACAACCUGGGACCCCGGCUGGGAGGUCAGGAGCCAGGGGUCAUGCAGCCCUGCCUUGGCUCCCGUAUGACACCGCAGGCUGCUGUGCUCCUGGGAUUUGGCAUCACCAUCCCCUGCUCCCAGGCCCUGGGCCUCACGAGGGCACAGCACCACGGGAGGGGCAGGCAGCAGAGGGCGGCGGGAGGCACCCCUGUCCCAAGAGGUCCCGGCCCUGCCUAGUGGCCCUUUAGGCUCCCACAAAUUCCCAGGGACCCUUCCUGAGGCAGAGGGAGUUGGCUCUGCACUGGACAUGGCUCGGGGCUCACAGAUGGGGACAGUCAUUGCCUACUGAGCGCCAGCAGGUGCUGGGAGUUGGGUCAGCUUCUCUCCAAGGUCUUGCCUUCCCUAGGAGAUGAGGGAGAUGCUGAGACCCAGAGGGCAGAGCCUCCUCCUCGCCAGGUCCCAGCACCACAUCCCCAGACACCAUGGGUGCCCGCAUCUGCCCUGAGCACCCCCAGCUCACUCAUGAGGCUCAGCAGUGGGGAGUGUGAUGGGACACAGGGCUGGCGGCUUGGGUGGUCACGCUGGUCCCUGAGCUCAGAGGAGCCGUGCCGGGUUUAGCACUGUGCGAUUUUGAUUCAUUUUUGGACAAAGGGCCUCUGUUUUCAUUUUGUGCUGGGCCCCAGCCAUUAUGCCACUGGUCCCUCCUACCAGGGUCUCCUUCCUGGUCCUAGGGUGGGGGUGGGGAGCCCACUGUGCUGUGUGUUUCUGGAAAAGCAGGUGGCAGCAGAGGUCCUGUGGUGAGACAAGGAGGGCCCUGCUGUGUGCCGGGCACCUUGCUGAGUCUCAGAACAGCCGGGAGGGUGAUCAGUGUCACCCCACUUUACAGAUGAGGAAACUGAGGCACAGAGAAGGCAAGGGGUAUGCCGGGGAACCCGGGCCAUAGUGAAUGACCGAGCUGCGAUUUG
rnacentral:lncRNA from 1 species